rnacentral:rRNA from 1 species
GGGAUCAUUACCGAGCGAGGGCCUCCGGGUCCGACCUCCAACCCUUUGUGAACACAUCCCGUUGCUUCGGGGGCGACCCUGCCGGGCGCCCCCGGAGGACCACCAAACACUGCAUCUCUGCGUCGGAGUUUACGAGUAAAUCGAAACAAAACUUUCAACAACGGAUCUCUUGGUUCUGGCAUCGAUGAAGAACGCAGCGAAAUGCGAUAAGUAAUGUGAAUUGCAGAAUUCAGUGAAUCAUCGAAUCUUUGAACGCACAUUGCGCCCCCUGGUAUUCCGGGGGGCAUGCCCGUUCGAGCGUCAUUACACCACUCCAGCCUCGCUGGGUAUUGGGCGUCCUUCGCGGGGGAUCACCCCCCGCGCGCCUCAAAGUCUCCGGCUGAGCGGUCUCGUCUCCCAGCGUUGUGGCAUCACGUCUCGCCGCGGAGUUCACGAGCCCUCACGGCCGUUAAAUCACACCUCAGGUUGACCU